UAAAUGCUAAGUUACAAAAGGAUAUUUGUACUGCAAAGUGAAGCUGAGAAAGAGAGAGUGAGAAUGAGGAUUGUAGGAUUGACGGGCGGAAUUGCGUCGGGGAAGAGUACGGUCUCCAAUCUNUAAGUCCAUCGGGAUUCCUGUCGUUGACGCCGAUCUCGUUGCUCGUGAUGUUCUGAAGAAAGAUACUGGUGGCUAUAAUAAGGUUGUUGCAGCAUUUGGAGAGGAUAUCUUGCAAGCUAGUGGAGAAGUUGAUAGGGCAAAACUUGGCCUAAUUGUGUUCUCUGAUCCUGCAAAACGUCAACUUCUUAAUCGGGUCUUGGCUCCUUAUAUAUCCUCUGGUAUCUUUUAUGAAAUUUUGAAACUAUGGUUGAGGGGUUGUAAGGUGAUUGUCCUUGAUAUCCCUUUGUUGUUUGAGGCCAAGAUGGAUAAAUGGACGAAGCCCAUUAUUGUUGUAUGGGUUGAUACCGAAACACAGCUUCAGCGACUCAUGGCAAGGGACAGAAUCAGUGAGGAGGAUGCCAGAAAUAGGAUAAACGCUCAGAUGUCGUUGGAUCUAAAGCGAAUUAAAGCUGACAUUGUUAUUGAUAACAGUGGCUCAUUAGAGGAGUUGAAAGCACAGUUUCGGAAGGUAGUAGGUUUCUAGGCCCUUGACAUGGACUGAAUUCUGGCUUUCAAGACAGGGAGCCUUCACAGCUCUGAUUUCCAUUAUAAUUGGAGUAGUUGCUGGCAAAAAAGUUUAUGGGG
rnacentral:misc_RNA from 1 species